UCCCCGCUCGGAGCCCGGCGCUGCGGCCGCUCGUCCUUGAAGAAGCGGCCGUGGCCGGGCGGAGCGGAGAGACCCAGCGGGGCCGUGUCCGCCCCCCCGGGGGCAGGAGCCCAACGAGGCGCUGCUUCUCCUGGGGCCCCCCCUCAGCCGGGGCUUCUCGUCCCCCCUCUCCCGGGCGUCGCUCUGCUCCUCUGAGGAUCCCUGCGAGAUCUCCGAUCAAUGCCCUCAGAACAUGCCUAAUUGGACAAGUCUGUGGUAUGUCUGGUUACUCCUGCUGACAGUGUUCCUGCUGCUGCUCUGUGGGAUCACAGCGAGCUGCAUCCGAUUCUGCUGCCGGAAGAAGAGGCCUCCAGUGGAGACCUUCUCCAGGCACCCUCACGACUUGACAGCUAUUGCCAUCGACAGCGACAGCACUGCCCACAGCACCGUCACCUCAUAUAGCUCAUGGCAGUACCCUCUGACUGCCCCGAUUCAUUCGAUAUUUGUGGAUAUGGAUAAGAACACCAUGUCCCCUCCAGCUUACAGCCUCUAUGCCAUGGACUUGCCACCUUCUUACGAUGAAGCUGUCCAAAGGGGUAAACAGUGCAAUGAAGGAGCACGGAAAAGCCAGAAACUCAGUGACAUCCCAGGAGAGGUGACCCCAGGGGGGCUGAGUCCCAUCCAGCGUUCACCUGAUGCCAUCAACAGAGAUCCAGCAACACAGGCAAAUUCAGGAAAUCCAGAAGAUGCGACACAAGAACAGCCGCAGCUCUGACUCAUUUCUGAUGGGGAGAAAAGGAAGGGAAGGGAAGGACUGUCAGAGUUCAAGAUGACGUGAAGGGUUUGGUUUUAUAGGCAGGUUAUGACAGAAAGAUGUUUCCUCUCAUGCCCUUGUGAUGAUCUGUCAGUCAGAAGAAAUGUUUCCUGUGACUGCUGUAAUCUCCUGGUAAAGCUGCUUCAAGGAUGUGAAAUGAAGUAAAAGGGGAGCAAUUUAAAAAUACCUAUAAAAGUGGGAUAUGAAUGCUUGUUCAUCUUCUGAUUAAAAAAUAAUAAUAAUAAUUCCUUGUGUCCAGCAUAUGGCCAUAUAAAGGUCAGGAGAAUUUUGCCAUCUUGGGAACACACCUGAAGAGUCAGAACAGAACAAACAGCAAGUUGUUGUUCCAGAACAGAAGCUUCCCAAACUGGAGCUGAAAGGGGAAUCCUUGCAAGUCACACUGAGCAGCCUCUCUAGUUUCUCUCCUUCUGAGAACAUCAACUGUCCAGCAAAUUGCUGAGUGCAAAUUGCUCCAUAACGGGACAUGUUCCUGAAACUGCAGGGAGACAGCAAACGAGGACAGGAGAGUGUGUGGAGGGAAAGGCAUGAAGUGGUGCUUCACAACUAGAGACAAGGAAUGAGACAGAUAAGAAAAGAUAUGUUGUGGGUUUUUUUUUUAUGUUGGGCCUGAAGGGAUUGUUUUUGAAGUUUUUUAGAUCUUUAAACUUUUUCUAUUUUCAAGAUGAGCUGGCUUGUGGGUGGGACCCUUUUACUGCUUACUUUUGCCAGUUAAAGUACAAUUUAGUCUCAAAGAGACACUUGCACACAGGGUUAAGUAUUACUAAUGUAUUUCAAAGAUUCAGCAGAAAUUGCAAAGAUGCCUUUAUACUUUGUUAUCCGCUCAGGUGCCAGGGUCUCAGUCGGAAAGGACAAGAAAAAAAUCAAAGAUUCCUGGCAGCUUUUACCAGUUUAGUCUGUGGAUGAGCUCAGCAACGUGCAGGAUGAAACAAAGCAGGCUCUAGCCUUAUCUAGGAUAAGUUAUAAAUACAAAAUACCAUAGUAUGGGCUAGGAAAAAUACAAAAUACCAUAAUACAGGCUGGGACAAAGUGCAAAAAAUUACUCUUUAGGGAUGAUUCUUCCUGAAGUGCUGAUAGCAAAGGUACCUGCUAUCCAUCAUUUUAAAUCUGGGAGCCUGGAGUUGAUUACAGCAGUCUCAGCCCAGACAAAAACAGGGGCUCUGAGAGGCCUUUUUUGAAAUGACAGCUCUUUCCCUUUCUUGCCCCUCCCAUGUUCCAAAUUAUAUGAUUUUUUUCUGCUCCUGAGUAGUGAUUUUCUUUUUUAGCAAGGUGCUAAUUUGGCUACCUUUAAGAACAUGAGCAAUCUACAGGAUUCUUCAUUGCUGUGGGAUUAUCCCCAGGAUAAGAGCAGGAGUGAAAGCUCGAGGUGCUAUUAACAAGCGUAACCUGAAGUGGGGAGUGCCAGGUCGCAGCUAAUGUUCACUGACCUCCCACCAGCAAGAAUAUGAUUGAUGGUCUUCAUUUUUGCUGAGGUUGCUUUGGUAGCUGUGAAAAGGGGCUACCUUCUGCAAAUAUUUAGGAGAGGUAAAAGGGGUGGGCACAAAAUCUAGCACAGCUUUUAGAAGACUGUUCUCCGACAACCAUUGCUGCAAGAGCCACCCUGGAAAUGAGCACUAAUGAUUUAAAAAUGAAGAUCUCUCUGCCAGCCAAGAGGACUGAGACUAGAAUCUCUGUUACACAUUCAUGGCGUGUGAGCUGUUCGUGAGCCCGGCUCCCCAGAGGAGUGUUGGUUCUAUAUUUAACUUGCAUAUAGCUUACUGUGCGGGUUGCGGGGAAAGAUUGGUUUAAUAAAUCUGCUUCUCUUCUCUC